ACAUUGGUGGUUCAGUUGUAGAAUUCUCAGCUUCCAUGCAGGAGACCUGGGUUCAAAUCCCAACCAAUGCA
rnacentral:tRNA from 1 species